ensembl:lncRNA
CUCUGAAUGGCAUUAAGCUCUCUUCUUUCAGUUUUGAUUAGGUGACUUGCAGAAGAUGAAGAUAAAUCAUUUAGAGGAGGAUACGUGUGUCAGGAGAUAAUGCCUCCGCUGGUUGAACAUGGCGAAGAAACACUGGCUCAAACUGAAGCUGAUGAAACACAGCAACAACCUGAGAAAUUCAGGCAUCUCGGUCUCCGUGACAGCAUUUCACAUUGAUGCGGCACGUCUCGGAAAACAAAACUAAGAGGAUCUUGUAUGCGGCCUUCACUUUGCACACCACACCACACCUCUCCAUUGGUCCAAGAUAACAUCAGAAUGACUGUGUCCAGACCACCAGAUCAGAACACAAAAUACAGACGGGAAGGUGGCCGGUUCACCUUCCAACCAUGUAUGUUCAGCUUGGCCCUUGAGUUGCUUUACUCUGGCCAUUUGGCAGGUGCAUACGCAGCCAGGAGAAACAAAAAAUACAACCAGAUCCCUGCUCAUGCAAACAGCUCAAUCUCCUCUUGCUGCAGAGCGUAGCUGCCUUUGGGAAGUCCUGUCAACGCUUACCAUUUGGC